rnacentral:rRNA from 1 species
UACGGGGGGGGUAAGCGUUGUUCGGAAUUACUGGGCGUAAAGGGCUCGUAGGCGGCCAACUAAGUCAUACGUGAAAUCCCUCAGCUUAACUGGGGAACUGCGUGUGAUACUGGAUGGCUUAGAUUUGGGAGAGGGAUGCGGAAUUCCAGGUGUAGCGGUGAAAUGCGUAGAUAUCUGGAGGAACACCGGUGGCGAAGGCGGCAUCCUGGACCAAUAUUGACGCUGAGGAGCGAAAGCCAGGGGAGCAAACGGG